rnacentral:lncRNA from 1 species
CGAUAUUUCAUGUCAUAAGUAGGAUAUGAAUACUUCAGUUUAAUCACAGAUAUUCCUACCCAAAUGGAGGAUAUAGACAUUUUAAAUUUCCAAACAGGUAUGGCUGUGUUUUCUCCUUGUUAUUGCUUGGCUGUUGCAUUAGUCCUGCUUAGUGAUGGUUUGGGGGCGGUCUGUCUGUGGUAUGUUUCACCUCAGUUUCAUACCCUAGAAUAGUCCAAAGCCCUUUCAGUCACAUAAGUGUGCAUGCACAUGAUCAUUUUUUCAAUUAAUAUUAUCAAGCCCUCUCUGUGUACUAAAUGAAAGGUGAGUGCAGUAAGCAAGAGGUAGUGUAUUCAGUAAAAAGCUUGAGAAGCAGGCGGUUGGUGGAGAUGG